UACGUAGGCAGCAAGCGUUGUUCGGAGUUACUGGGCGUAAAGGGUGCGUAGGCGGCUUUUUAAGUUUGGUGUGAAAUCUCCCGGCUCAACUGGGAGGGUGCGCCGAAUACUGAGAGGCUAGAGUGUGGGAGAGGAAAGUGGAAUUCCUGGUGUAGCGGUGAAAAUGCGUAGAUAUCAGGAGGAACACCGGUGGUGUAAACGGCUUUCUGGACCAUAACUGACGCUGAGGCACGAAAAGCGUGGGUAGCAAACAGG
rnacentral:rRNA from 1 species